UACUAGAGUAGCACUCGCAUAUCAAUAAGCGGAGGAAAAGAAACUAACAAGGAUUCCCUUAGUAACGGCGAGUGAAGCGGGAAGAGCUCAAAUUUGAAAUCUUCAAGGUUUUACCUUGACGAAUUGUAGUUUAAAGGAGUGUUUUCUGUUGGAGUUUUGGUAAAAGUUCUUUGGAAUAGGACAUCAUAGAGGGUGAGAAUCCCGUAUUUGACCAUUAUUUCCAGCUGUGUGAUACACUUUCAAAGAGUCGGAUUGUUUGGGAAUGCAGUCCAAAAUGGGUGGUAAAUUUCAUCUAAAGCUAAAUAUUGGCGAGAGACCGAUAGCGAACAAGUACCGUGAGGGAAAGAUGAAAAGAACUUUGAAAAGAGAGUUAAACAGUACGUGAAAUUGUCAAAAGGGAAGCGUUUGACACCAGUGUUGUUUUUCCGAAAAUCAAUUACGAAUGUUUUAUUUUUGAGGAGCUUAUGACUUCAUCGGCUUGCUCCUUUCUUUAUGAAACUUUCUUAAUGCACUUUUCGGUUAACAAGUCAACAUCAAUUUCCUUUGCUGUAAAAGGGUAUGAGGAAGGUGGCUUCAUUUCGGUUGAAGUGUUUAUAGCCUUUUAUCUCUGCAGUCGGGGAGAUUGAGGUCUGCAGCGUAGAUCCUUCGGGGCUAGAUACAUUUAUGCUAAGUUAUAGCUUUUCAUAGACAACUUGUUGACUAUGUUAAGUCUUGUAAUUUACUCGCAGAUGCUAUAUUACCUACGCUUAGGAUGUUGAUAGUCACAGCGUGUAC
rnacentral:rRNA from 1 species